AAGUCGUAACAAGGUCUCCGUUGGUGAACCAGCGGAGGGAUCAUUACCGAGUUCUUACAGAACCCUACCCUUGUGUGCUAAGCUACCACUCAGCUUUUACACAAAGAGUCCCGGCUUUACUGCCGGGCUAUCAGUGUAAAAAAACAAAACCUCUGUAUUAUUAUUAUUUCUCUGAGACUUUUUACAAAAGAGUCAAAACUUUCAACAACGGAUCUCUUGGUUCUG
rnacentral:misc_RNA from 1 species